rnacentral:lncRNA from 1 species
GUACCGUAUAUACUCGAGUAUAAGCCGACCCAAAUAUAAGCCGAGGCCCCUAAUUUUACCACAAAAAACUGGGAAAACGUAUUGACUCGAGUAUAAGCCUAGGGUGGGAAAUGCAGCAGCUACUGGUAAAUUUCUAAAUUAAAUUAGAUCCCAAUAAAAUUACAUUAAUUGAAUAUUUAUUUACAGUGUGUGUAUAGAAUGAAUGCAGAGUGUGUGUUUGUG